UACUCCUACGGGAGGCAGCAGUGGGGAAUCUUGCGCAAUGGGCGAAAGCCUGACGCAGCAACGCCGCGUGGGGGAUGAAGGCUCUCGGGUUGUAAACCCCUUUCAGCAGGGACGAAUCAAGACGGUACCUGCAGAAGAAGCCCCGGCUAACUACGUGCCAGCAGCCGCGGUAACACGUAGGGGGCAAGCGUUGUCCGGAUUUAUUGGGCGUAAAGAGCUCGUAGGUGGCUGAGUAAGUCGGAUGUUAAAUCCCCAGGCUCAACCUGGGACACCACCCGAUACUGCUCUGGCUAGAGUCCGGUAGGGGAGCGUGGAAUUCCUGGUGUAGCGGUGAAAUGCGCAGAUAUCAGGAGGAACACCAGCGGCGAAGGCGGCGCUCUGGGCCGGUACUGACACUGAGGAGCGAAAGCGUGGGUAGCAAACAGGAUUAGAUACCCUGGUAGUCCACGCCGUAAACGUUGGGCACUAGGUGUGGGGUCUAUUCAACGGACUCCGUGCCGUAGCUAACGCAUUAAGUGCCCCGCCUGGGGAGUACGGCCGCAAGGCUAAAACUCAAAGGAAUUGACGGGGGCCCGCACAAGCGGUGGAGCAUGUGGA
rnacentral:rRNA from 1 species